CCAUCGGCCGUCUGGAAUUUGCAUACCGUGGCAACUUUCCCUGGUGUAGAUCAGCUUCCUUGAAGGUCAUGGCCGGAAUUUCUAGAGAGAGGAACGCGCUCGCAGAGAUUUGGGGGAGGCAGAACCGGAGCUGGAUGGAAUUAUCGACGAGCGGCGGCGUCCUGAAUUAUCUGAACGUCUCUGGUAUGAUUCUCUAUCGUUGGAAGCUUAACCUACGGUGUCGAUCGCAGUCUCAUCAUUCCCCCCCUAAGGACAAGACCGACCGACCUUGGGUGGAGACGGACAGGAGAGGAAGCCGAUGACGGAGGUUGAGGAAGGAUCUGAUUGGCCCUCCGAGUGUGCCGCCAAUCGACGAUUUAUUCUUCGACAUCCAGGUUCUAGAUCUCUGACCUAGUCGACGAAUUUUUUAGGGGAAACUUUUCGGAUAAAGUUAUUUUAAGAUCAUUUUAAUAUUGAGUUUAUCUUAAUCUGAAUAGAAGUUCCCCGUCAGCGUAUUAAGAUCAUCGAUGAUCUUUAUCCAGCCGAUCUCGGAAAUCAGAUAUCAGAUCUGCGAGCGCGCAACUUCACCUGUCCUAGCCGCGCUCUGUUCGUGACGGUUGCCAUCGGAUAUCCCUGAUGUACGAGAGCUCAUCUAGUCAAUCACUGGCAGCUCUCUGCAGUUUGAUCUUCCUCUAAUGGAUUAAUUCCAAGGUUUCCAAGUUCAACGAUCUGAAUCCCUGCAACGAGAACAAAAAAUUCGAUAGGCUUUAUUAUUUCAGACGAAGGUUAGAUUUAUAUACAAUCCCCGGGAUAUCUGGAGAAUUACAGAGGAAGAUAAUAUGAAAACCAUGCUAGUUUAGUUUUCCCCGGGUUUCGUCUCCAUGAACUCGCUUUUCCGACUCAUCAGAUGAAUAUUCCGGAUUCGAAAAUAUUCAUCUCCGAUUUAGCUCUUCUAGAUCGAUUCUACAGAGAUAAAACUGGUCGCCGAGGUAGCUGGGAGUUCGAUCUCCCGGAUCCCGGGCUCCGGCGCUGAUGUCACUCGUCGGAGCUGACCUCGGAGGCGUAACCGCUCAACGUCGGCGGUGACGGGGAAGCGGAGCGCUUGCCGUUCGAACGCCC
rnacentral:lncRNA from 1 species